rnacentral:lncRNA from 1 species
CCACAGAGCUAACUUGCAAGGUCUCUACUCUAAUGUUAUUACCUAAUGCCUAUGUAGCACACCACUAAACUCUUUUCAUAUUUCUACCCAUCCUAAUUAACUUCUUCGGAUAAACAUCUUUAGCCCUUGUUUGAUUUUGAUUUUGAUUUUUCCAAAAUGACUUUUCGUCAAAACUUAUUUUCAACUACACAUUCUCCCAAUAAAUAAUUUUGCAAGUGGACCCAUAACUUUUCCCUACUUUUUAACCACACAUUCUUUAAAAAAAUCAUUUUUUCACAAAAUCACUUUUGAAAAAUUAAAAAUCAAACAAGGGCUUAGUAUUACCUUCCAGUUCUGAAACAACCAAAUACAAAGACAGCUCAACAGCCCCAUAUUUAACUAAUAAUAUGCCCCAGAAAAUAAAACCCAAGGUGAAAUCAUCAGGUUCAAAUGUCAGAAACUAUGAGCCUGUUUGGGCUCGAUUUUUCCAUCCAAAAAAUUGAUUUUUUGACCGAUAUUCCACUAUUUCAGCCGUCGUAUUUGACUUCUUCUCUCACGAGUGGACCCCACUUUUCUUCUAACGGUCAAAAAAUCAAUUCUCAAAAUCACUCCCAAACAGCCUCUAUAUGAAGUGAAAUAGAGUAGACAAGUAAGAGCCAGCUGAAGUUGAAGGAUUUUAUCACACAUUUUUCAUUCACAAUUGGAAGCCACAGUGAGUUUCAUAUAACCGAACAGAAAUUUAAGUGCUUUGUCUGAAAAACAACAUAUAAAUGGUGUACCCAUAAUAGAAUAGCAUGCUCAAGACUGUAUUUUAAAAUUUUCACAACCGUAAACUAGUAAUAGGAUCUCACACAUUCUUGUAGACUUUACCAAAACAGUGAUUCAUAUCAUUUAAGAAGACAUUUGAAAUCUAUGUGAUUUGUGAAACAUAGAAGAAAAUUGUUAUUUCUAGAUUAAAUAGCUACCUCUACACUGUACCCUUCAUUGUAAAUAAAUUAUCAGAUUUGCAGGGGAAAAAAAAUUUCCGUGAGAAAGAAGAAUGAAAAUUUGGGUGAUCAAUCCAUGAUCAUGACAAAGUUUGCGUGAAACUAAAUGAGGGGUCCAAACCAAUCAAUGUUGAAGAAACAGAAAAUUAAUUGUCGUUAGGGGUGAAAUGCCACUCAAGCCUAGAAAUAGCUGGCUCUCCCUCAAACAUGUUGAGAAGCACUUGACGAGACAUCUAGGGGUUAAGCACUAUUUCGGUGCAGGGAGCAAUAACAAAUAGAGGUAAGUUUUGAACACUAGACGUGACCUCAAAA